UGUAAACAUCCUACACUCUCAGCUGUGACAUCAUCGAGCUGGGAGAGGGGUGUUUACGCU
ensembl:miRNA MIR30C1 microRNA 30c-1